AGAAAUAUAUGGAGAGAGAGCAAUUUUGGCUACUGAAGCAAGGGAGCUUCAGAAUCGACUUCUCAGUUUGUCAGAAGAGAGAGAUAAAUCGCUUGCAGUUCUUGACGAGGUAGUGUCUCUCGUUUCAGCAUAUAUGUCUUAUAUUGUCUUAUGAGUAGGGUCUUGGAAUAAUCAUAGUAGUCUGCAGUUGGUUCUUACUCUUUGAUCAUUUGUGCUUUUAUUUAUUCAGUUGUAAAAAUUAUUAAUGUCUCUAGAAUCUGGUUCUUACCACUGUCUUGUUAUUCUAGAUACUUUUCUUUUUCCAAGUGUGAGUCUCAUUGGAAGGAGAUUUAUAUGAUUUUUCAUCAAGGCUAUGACAUCUUAAAUAUUCUUUGGAUGCAAAUUUGCUGCAGAUGCGUGAAACCCUUGAAGCCCGACUAGCUGCAGCGGAAGACAUGAGGAAAGAAGCUGAAGAGGAAAAGUUUGAAAAGGAAGAGUCAGCCCGAGCUUCUCUUGCCGAACAAGAAGUGAUCAUGGAGAAGGUGGUCCAAGAAUCGAAGCUUCUGCAGCAGCAAGCAGAGGAGAAUUCUAAGGUUGCUACCUACACAUAUAUGUUUAUACAUCUUUUGGAAGACAAAUUAUUUGUGACUUUAUCAUUUUAUUUUGUUGCAGUUACGGGAGUUUCUCAUGGACCGUGGUCGCGUGGUUGAUUCAUUGCAGUAAGUCUUAGUUCUCUUUAUCUUUUGAAAAAAAUGAAGUUUGAUUUGCAUUUAAGUCGAGGUAUGAUGGUUUUCCAUCCCUACGGAAAAAAAAUACUAGAACCAAUCACUUUAUAUGCAUCUCGACAGCUAUGUGAAAUUUUUUGAAAUUUCCUGGUUGUUUGGCAUGUUUCUAUGAUUUAUUUCAAUGGUAAGUCAUGCCUGCAUAAGAACCUUUACUUCGCCAUUCAUAGAGUGUUGCAUAUCCUGUUUUUGGUUGUGGUGAUAAUUUGUUGCUGAAGUGGUAUUUGUGAGUACAAUGAAUACCUUGGUUCUGUUUAAUUAUUUUGCUGCUGUAAUGAAACUAUUUAGAAGUACUUUCGGAAUUGAUCAUGAAAAGUUUCUGUCCUGGAUUUAACUCCAUGUCUUGUCAAAAUUGUGGUGAGAGGCAUUUUGAUGCAGUCUAUUUUUUGUUUUUUGGCAGAGGAGAAAUAUCGGUUAUUUGCCAAGACGUGAGGUUGCUGAAAGAGAAGUUUGAUGAGCGUGUUCCAUUAAGCAAGUCUGUAUCCUCAAGCCAGACUACUUGCAUCUUAGCUUCUUCUGGCUCAUCCAUGAAAAGCGUGGCUUCUUUAGUUGCCGAGCAAGACCUGACAUCUGAGACCCUUGAGAAGAUGAGUCCCGCCCCCGCAGUUGAUGUUGAAUCACUGAAAAGCAGAGGUGAUGAAAAAAUUGGAGAUUUUUGGAGACAGCUUUCUGAUGAUGGGUGGGAUCUCUUUGAGAAUGAAACGGAACUGAAUGGCAAAGCCUUGUAAAUUUUGGAUACAGCGGAAUGAGGGAACUUUUUAAAGAUGAUUUCUAUGUCAAAUGGGGGUGGCAUAUAUGGCUUAAGGUCUUUGUGGUCGCCUAAUUCCUAACGAUACUCCUGCGUUGACCACAGAGUCCCAAUUUCACCCAUCAAAAGAGUCAGCUAACUAUUCUAUAUAUCACUCUUUUUACAUUGGGGUAAAUACAUUCAGAACUAUAAUAUUCAUAGCAGUUGGCCGUGAUGUAUAGAAGUUUUGUUUUUAAAUAAACCAGUGGAAAGCUUCUUUCUUGAAAUACCUUCUAUUCGAAUUGCAAUUAGUGACCUUGAAUGCCUUCUCUUCCAAGUGCAAUAGUGAUGGGUUAUUUGUUUUAACAAAAGAUGCCUGCUCUAUACGGCAUCUUCUCUAGUUCUCUGUUGGAUAUAGAUUUUAAUUAGUAAUCGGGCUUACCUUACACGUGUGAAUGUGUUGCGGCAGUCUCGAAUAGUUGAUUGUGUUGAGGAAGUACUUUUUUUUUUUUUUUUUUGAGAAGGUGUAGAGGAAGUACUUACUUUCAAAUAAAAGAAGCACUGGGGAGGGAAAUUGCGUCAUCAUUUGCUAAUAAUAUUCCUUAUUAUUUAGCGACUCCAAUUUGGUGACGAAACCAAUGUAAAAAGUCAAAGUGUGGAGACUUGGAUCACUAAUUAAGUUAAUAGAUAGAACAUGAACAUGAGCUUAAGGAAAUGAAAAGUUUGAUUGAAUCAAUGAACCUCGGCAAGAGGGGGUUCAAGAAGUGGUCAUAGUAUUAGUAGCCCAGUUUUUUUGUAGUACUUACAAGUAAUUUACAACUAGGCAGAGGCAGAGUGAACAUACCCGCCCGUCGAACUUGCCUAUCAUCUUCUAGUACAAAAAUAUAUAUAAAUAGUUUCAGGAAAGCACCAAUAUUAACAUUAAUUUGCGCUGCUGCUGAAUGCUGAUGCUGAAGACAGGAGGAACAGCCAGCAAAGCUCAAAUCGUCUAGCCUUGCCAACACAGAAGCAUUACAGAACAUUUCCAUAUGAUAUAAAGCCGUGCACGGUGCUCUCUAAUUUGCUUUGAACACCGCUGCCAUGACCGGGACUUGAUGCUCCUCAGUGCCGCCAUAUCUCGAUAACUGCAAUUGGGAUUAGAAUCAAGGACUGAGAGUAGCUGAAUUGAAUUUGGUGGAUGAGUUAUGUUUUACAAAUGAACGACUUAUUAAUCUUAUGGCUUGAGUUGUUCUUGACUUGAGGCCUUUUUAUAUUAGAGGAUGAUAGAAUUGAGGAUAUAUGAUGUGAGAAGCAAUAUGUGGCGGUUGAGGUUAACAAAUGGUGGUCCUGCUCCUACUACUUGUUGAGAAAAAUAUUAUAAUGCAAAGCAGCGCUAUAUGUAACCAAGCUGCUAAUUGCCAAACCAUCCCGAUAAGGACUCGUCAUCAACUUUCCCUAUCGAGGGUCCUUGUUGUCUCUUAUCUUAUGGUUCAGAAAUUCUAAAAUACAUCCGAAGUGAUGCAACUAACUAAUGUAUGUAUGACAUAUGUAAUUAAAUUUGAUAUAAUUCAUCACUCCACUUAUAUGGUGGUUUUUGUUUAAAAAAUAAAUAUACACAUAUCAUAAUAUGAUUUUUUUGUUUUAAGAUACACAUAGUAAUUUUAAUACAUUUUAAAAUUUAUCUUAUAUAUUCUAAAAUUUUAAAAUAUAUCAAAAAAAAUACGACAUAGAUAUUAUAAAAUCUCUUCUCGUAAUCAUGCCCACUGCUACUGUGUGUCGUCCACACAAUGCUCAUGCUCAACAGUAGAAUUAUAUUAAUUUUGUACAUUUCUCACAUUAAUUUUUCAAUCAUUCUUUUCUUACUAAUUUAAAUUAAUUAUUUGCCAUAAAGCUAGAUUGGGGUUAAUUAAUUAAACACCCCUUGAAAAAUAAAUCUUGUAGCUUUCUUGCCGCCCAAAAUUUUCAUUACCUUCACAUCCACAGAUAGAAUGUUUGUCGUAGAAACUGAUCAAAGCAGGUACCCCGGUCAGAAAGCUGAAUUUAAAAUAUAAUAUAGCGAUGUAAAUUGGUAUAUCAAUUAAUAAUCAUUAAUUGAUAGGUAAUCCAUAUAUAUAUAUAUAUAUAUAUAGCAUUAUCUUGAACUAGGGAUGGCAAUGGGGAGGGGAGGGGAGGGGACCAAUCUCCCCAUACCCAUCCCCGAUGUUUUGCAUAUGUCCCCGUCCCCUCCCCGUCCCCGUCAAAAUUGCUUGAGAGAAUCCCCAUCCCCUCCCCGAAUAAUAACAGGGGAUCCCCGAGGGUCCCCGGUCCCCGAAUAAUUAAUAGUCUAAUACAUUUUUUAUUUUCGAUUUUAAAUUAAUCAUAUUAAAAUAAACUCAUACCGCUAUUGUAAGCUCGUAACCAACUUUGACAGCACAUUAAGGCCUCCAAUGUGCUUGGAUGAAGUUUGUUAUGGUAUGAGCUCACAACUCUACCACUAGUGUUAAAAGCUGAUUCAGAAGCAACUGUUGUAAUUGGAAUUGCCAAAAUAUCUCUAGCAAUUCGAGCUAAUGUAGGAUACCUAUUAGCAUUUGUCUUCCACCAACUCAAAAUAUUAAAAUAUUCCAUCCGAGAUAUAACUUUCUCAUCCAAAUAUGAAUCUAAUUCAUCUGCAACAACUGCACAAUCUCCAUUGUUUACAUAAUCAUUAAAACCUGUCAUCCAUUUGGUUGCUUUCUUAUAAGAAUCCCCUGUAGAUCUAGUAGAAGAACUACUACCAGUAUAAUCAAAGCAAUAAACAGUUGGUGAAAACUUCAAUUAAUACUCUUCAACUAAUUCCCGGCAAAGGGUGACCACUUUCCCAACAUACAACUAUUUUGAUAUUUAUUAUUUUUAACAAUAUUUAUAAUUUUGUUAUUUAUUUAUUAGUAAUUUUAAAAAUAAAAAUAAAAUUAAAAAUUAAAAUGGGGAAAUGGGUAGGGGAUGGGGAUUCCACCUCAUCCCCGUCCCCUCCCCGAAUAAAAAGUUGGGUAAAAAAUUUUCCCCGUCCCCUCCCCGAAAAAAAAAUUGGGUAUAAAAUUAUCCCCGUACCCUCCCCGAAUGGGGAAAAUCCCCGAGGGUACCCAUCCCCGUGGGGAUUUUUGCCAUCCCUAUCUUGAACUUAUAGCUGCCUCUUCAAUUAUGACAUAGCUAGAUGACAUUUUCAAGUUUGAACCUCAAUUAACAUUUCUUAAUCAUGCUGUUAGUUACUUCACAUACGCGCAAACUCUCGAAGCAUUGAAAUCCUUCAAUUAUAUAUAAUUUAAAAUAAACGAAUAAUUCUCUAGUUUCUCAACGUAACACGGGGCAUCGUGAGUAAUGAAAAAUUAUUCUUUUAUUUUUUUAUUUUUUGGGUCAACCAGUCAACCUCAAACUACCUCCAAAUUGAAGUUGAACCUAUGUUGAUGUUGCCCACCACUCUUUUUUUUUUUUUUCUAUUUUCUUUCCAAAUUCUCAUAGCAUGCACUUUUUCUUGUGAUAAAAGCAUGAGCCAAAGAUCAUCCCUCCAAUCGACUAAUGCCCAUUUUUUGUAUCCUAAGUGGAGAAAACCUAAAUCGUUAUAUAUUAUUUAUUCAGGCAAAAUUUGAAGAUCCCGCUACUGAAAACGGUAACCUAGCCCGCCGUUUGAAAUUUGCAAUCCACUUGAAGCAUCGGUCUGUGUAAUCUGAUCACGACUUUCCAUCAUCACGUGCACAUGUCUUGGUAAGGUAAAACCGAUACAUCCUGUUCAAGUCAAUCCGGCAUGCCGGCCACUUAUCCUUUUCAGCAAUGGGAUGCACAAAUACAAGUUCAAUAUUUUGACAUUACAAAUUUACACCCGCCUCGUGUUUGCAAGCCAUGACCCAGCACCUAUCCCAAUUACAACGUUACGUGGCCUCUUCUGUAACCCUAACAGUAGACACAUUGAAUAAUUAUGGGCCAGUCGGUCACCCCUUUAUUGAAUCGGUGGUGCGAGAGCAUGACACGCAUCCUCUCGAGUCAUUGUCAACCGUUCAUAAGAUUCCGUUUGUGGUGGGCUCAGGCCACGUGGGUGAGAACUGAGUCUGAGCCGAGUGUUGCAGAAAAGUUUGGCAUUGAGGGAUAUAAACCCUUAUCCAUCCGUCUGAGAGAAAGUAUCAAAAAUAAAUUAACACUUUGAAUGCAUGCAUACUGACUGAUUUGUGACCCCAUUACAGGUUGGAGAUUUAUGAUUGGGACGGAUUAGGAAAUUAAAGCUGCAACAACAAGGGGCCGGGCAUGCAUGGUAUUGGUUCCUAGAAAUUUGUUUGGGCUAUGAGAAUGUUGCGAAUGCGAAUGCGAUUCAAUAAAAAUCCAAGCUGUCGGGGGAGGAUUUUUUUUUUUUUAACCUUCUUUCGCCCCUAUUUGUCAUAAAUGGAGAUUGGAGAACCGUCAUGAGUUGAGUGGGGAUCGAUAUCAUCAAUCCGUCGUAGAAAGCUUGAACAAGAAUCAUGAUGAAUGUGUAGCAUGUUACCCGCCUGGAGGAAAUGGUCGAAAAUCUCAUAUCUGUAUAUAUAAGCUUCCAUUCAGAAACAAACUGCCACAUGUGUCUUACAUAUAUAUUAGCAAAAUAAAUAUAAUAUUACUCAAUAUUUUACAUCACAAAUUUACUAAUAAAUAUAUCUUAAGUCUUAUCAGUCCAUUCUAAUGUAUGUCAGUCCUUUCUGGAUGUAUCAAAAUUGAAGUUUCAAUUCAUAAAUUUGUUUACAAAGAAGGAGAAAGAAGGAGAAAGUAUACUUCCACAAACAUUUGUUUAUGUUCAUGUUCUAUGACAAACAUGUAUUUGCAAGGAAAAAAUAUCCCCUCAAAGAAAUCAGCUACUGAGAAGUUUAAACGAAAAAUAAAAGUAAAAAGAAUAAAUUUGACCUACAUGUAGUGUGUGCUAAAAGCACAUAUCGAAAAGUUAAAAAUAAUACGAGUUACCUUAUAUAUAUAUAUAUAUAUAUGCUACUUUUUAGAUAUUCAAAGUUUUUAGAUUUUUUGAAUAUAACACUAAAAAUAAAAUAUUUCUAUUUAAAAGUAUUAGUAGAAAUUCAAAAUAGUAAUAAUCUUCGUCCUAGAUAUUUAAAAUAGUUGCUAAUUAAAAUAAUGAAAAGGCUUUUAUUAUGUUGCUUAAAUUAUAAAGAAAUUCGUGAACUCAUGUGUUAAGAAUUAAAAAGUCCUUCAUGACCAAGAAUUGAAUAAGCUCUUGAAUAAUAAGAUAAAAUUGUAUUUAUCUCAACCAAAUUCAUGAUAAAAAAAUAUAAUAUAUUUAUUGGGGUCGGACUAACACGAAGAUGAGAUAGUGAGAGUCGUGUUGUGACAGACUGUCUCAAAAUUAUGACGAUCAAUCAUACUCUCCUGCAUGCAAAUUAAUCACUUGGGAAUUGUUAAAUUCUUACUAAAUUAUAUAAUAAUGUAACUUAUAUCGAUCCAAGAGUUAUGCCUAAUAAUCCAAAAAUAUUUUAUAAUAUUAUCCUUAUUUUAAAGUAUAUUUUUUUAUUUAUAUUUAUUACAAAUUAAAUAAAUCAUAUAAAAUUUAAAUAAUAAAAAUAAGAGACACAUGUUUCAACGUAAAUACCAAAAUUAAUAAUAAUUAAGAUAUUUUUAUUUUUGUUAUUGUUAUACUUUUUUCAAAUAAAAUUAUAUUCACAAGAUCAAAUAUGAAGCAAAUAACUUAUUUAUCUCUCCUUUUCUUUAAAAUUUUUUUAUGUCAAAAAGGUUAUUAGAUAUUAUGAAAACAGUGGGAUGAGCAGUAUAUAAUUUUAGUAAGGAGAAACUGACAAUCUCUAUUAAUCAUCGCAUUACCUUGCAUAUAAAUAAUCAAAUAUCUGCAUCAAUGUUUAGAAUUGUACGUUUUGAAUUUGCCAUGUCAAUGUUUAACAUUUUUGGCACAAUGAGAGUGUCAACUUUUGCACCUUUUUAAUUCCCUUCCGGUUGAUGAUAAUGGCAUGAUAUUAGGUUACAAACUUACAGUUAUGAUGUGCCAUAAAACUUGAUCAUUUUCUCUUAGCAAUAUAAACCAUGUAGUUUAUAAAGUCGUAGAUUUUUGCUAUGGAAAAGGAAGCUGACCAAUGUGUUUCAGAUUCUUUGAUCUUUUGGGAAAACCCCACCUCAUUUUUUUCUAAAGAGAAGAAGUCACACUUCCUUUUGAAGUAAAAAGAAAAUAUCUAAUUAUUCAAUAAAGAAGAAAAUAUCUAAAAGGCAGUGACGAAUCGAUUGCCACAACGAAUGUGAGCUAUUUGUGAUUAAUAACUUUCAUUCCCAACACCACACAUAUUAAAGCGUAGACAAACCAAGAGUGUGGGAGCUGGAUCGCCUAUUUCUUCAAGUAACUGAAAUGCCCUAUUUCUUCAAGUUAGCUUUGCGGAAUUAAAGAAGGAGGUUAACAUGCGCAGAAAGAGGCAGCAUACCAUUUCACCAGAAUCGAUUGUUUGAAUCCUUAAAUAAUGAAAUUAAUCCAAUUGUAACUAGAAACACGAUGAAAGUGUUUUACCACUAUUUUUCAUAUAUAUAAUUAAUUAUAAAUAGCUACGUUUCGUAUUAAAACAUUCAUUACUCGAGAUACAUUUAUCUCGGUUUGUCCUUAGUCUAUUGACAAACUGGAUCAUUGGCGUUUGACACUCCCAAAAAUAAGAUGACCAUGCGUAUUGCUCAAGUAAUGAUGAGAUUUGAGCACAUACUUAAAGAAAGAGACUGCCAUAUAUAUGUCCCCAAGUUCGUAACUUUAUUGGGUUAAAAAUGAAGGAGAUAGCUAGGUAGGUAGACCUGCUUCAAUUUCUACGUAAUCAUUAUUUUAGUUGUAACUCACCCGAAAUCUUUAUAAUUAUUCUUCUAAUUGUCGAAAUGUGUGUGUGUGUUUAUACUCUUCAAUUUUGUUUAUAUGUUGUUAUCUUUUUUGCCCUUUUUUCUGUUCAGUUGUUUUAUCUUUCUGUAGGCUAUGGUCUUCUAUAACAAUUACUUAUUUCGAAGUGAGAUAUCUAGUGGUUUGUUAUAAUCAUCGUAUGUUGACAAAUUUGUUCUAUGGAAAUUAAAGGAAGUUUCUAUUGAUCUUGGGCGAAUCCCACUCAUUCUUUUUCAAGAGAAAAUUAAGAUCACGCUUCCUAUUAAAAGUGAACAAAAUAUCUGAAGGUAGUGAACCACACAUUGCCACUAUGAAUCUGUGCUAUGAUUACCAACUUAAUUCCACUCACUACACCACAUAUAUUGAAGUGCAUACAGCUAGCUCAUCAAGGAUGUGCAUGGGAGCUCGAUCGAGCUAGAUAUUCUUUCCGGUGAACCAAAUUCUUUAAAUAACCAAAAUGCACUUUACAAGAUAUUUCAAAAGGAGGAAACGAAGUCACAGUUCCAAAAAGUGGUGGUCCGUAAUCCACUUAAAAAAAGUCGGUGCCAUUUCAACGGAAUCCUCUAACAAUCAAAUGGUAAUUAGGAACACUAAGAAAGCCAGCUGUUUCUCAGUCUUCCUCAUAUUCAAACUGCUGCAUUUCAUGUUACAACAGUCACUCAGCCAGCAUUUUUUCCCAAAAAGUAUUCUACCUUCUCUGUCAACUUUUCCAGAAAUUUUCGCUAAAUGAAACACAGACGUGGCCAUCAAAGUGUUUUACCGCAGAUGAUCCAAAGGAAACUUGAAGUAAUUUCAAGUUCAUGAUUCAGGCAUCAACGUGUUUGACCGAACAAUUUCUAAUUGCAACAGAACUUUUGGAUCUUGCAUCAAAACGACACAACAUAUAUAAAAUAAAUAAAUAAACUAAUAAGGUUUUUUUUUUUUUUUUUUUAUCUUGAACGAUUUGUAUUUUAUAUUUAUACAAAGUGGACUUUCGUAUGGUUAUCUUUGACUAGUUAGAAAAAUAAAAAUAAAAAUCAUGAGCUCAAUUGUGCGUUCAAAGACACAAAUGCUUUUUUGGAAUUCAUGAUUAUUUGUUGUUCUCUAAAUAAUUAUCAAUCAUGACCUCAAAUUCACAUUUUACAAAACAAGGGACAACUACACCUGAAAAUUUCAAAUUUGUUGCCCACUUGUUUAAAUGAUAAUUAUUUAUUAGUUCACAUAUUAAGCCACUAAUGGUUAACCUAUAAGUAGAUCUUUCUGGUUUCUUGACCACUAGAUUUGCUACCUUAGUGGUUGUAUAUUUUUAUUGUAAAGUUAAGCAUACAUUUAAAAGGAUGCGAAUUAUAUCAUGAACAUAGAUUAUCCACAUUUUGAUUAAAAUUAAGCAAAUUUUCCAUUAAAUGUACAUAAGAGCAAGAAGGGCACCGGGUGUUUACUCAAGGAUUAAUUUUACGUUACCGGUGCAAUGUCUAUGAUAUCGAAUUGUAUUUUGAAUGGCUAUAUAUCGAUUUUCAUAUAUCUUCGCCUUCUGAUUCUCAAUCAAAUCCCAAUAGCCAAUGGUGAAGAAUUGAACCCAUCACUACCCAACCAAGAAAUGGAAAAAGAAGAAAAAGAAAAAAGAAAUUAAGAAAGAAGUGAAUUUGCAAAUCUAACUGAAAGUAAAGGUGUUAUACUAUCAGCUUAAUUUAUAGUUUUAUAUAUACAUCAUACAUAUGUAUUAAUUGUACAAUCAAACAAAACUGGACAGACAUUAAUCCAUUAGCUUUGUUUUCAAUUGAACUGAAACCCUAGCAGCCCCCUUUUCUUUACUAUACCCUAACAGCGAGCUUCCGAAAGUAACUUCAAAAAUUAACUUGCACGUCAUAUAUACAUUACAUAUAAUUAGUUUUAUUUAGAAUUUAAUUUGCAUUUUCUUGCUUGACUCACUGUAUAUAAAAAGCUCCCUGUAGCCAGGACGUCAACAAAAAAUACACAGCUACUUAAUCAUGCCAACAAAGAAGCAUUACAGAACAUCUCCAUAUAAUAUAAAGCCGUGCCUUCUGCUCCCGAAUAUGCUUCGAAAGCUUCCUUAGCUUCAUGCUUCUUACUGAGAACAUGCUUGUUGCAGCCAUGAACAAAUUGAAUGAAGUUGUGUGUUGAAUCACCUGAUGUUCAUGAAGACAUAGCUGGGGAUAUAUAUAUAGGGCAGAAGAAGUUCUGUUGAAGAUAUUCGGGAAGUGAUUUGUGGUUGAUUCGUGAUUCGUGAAUGGCCUAAUUAGCUUGAGGACCCACUCUUGGAGCAAGUGGAAGAAGACAAAAGCAGAGAAAAAAAUGUUUAGCUUAGUGUGUCCCAGCGGCCUGAUAACCACUUCUCAUCAUCUUUGCCCCGCAUCGCGUCAAUUCCUAUAUAUGUUCACGCAUUAUUUCUGCUUAUGUAUUCGGUAUAGUUGGUAUAAUAUUUUUAUCAAAUUUUGUCAAAAUGGAAAGAAUUAUGAACUAAAAAUUAGUUUAUUUUGUAUGAUAUUUAAUUUCUAUGCAUGCACCUUCAUUAUACUUCAGUUAUUAUAUGACAUGUGAAAAAACAUAUCUUGAAUCAAAAUACUCAAAUCUCUCAAACAAAAAGCAUACCAAUAAUAAUUGGUUGUUGUUAGUUGUGUAUGCUAAUAUUUUAAUGUUACUACGAGCUUGCAAUUACGUCUACUCAACAUUAUUAAUUGAACAUUCAUCAAACAUUACAAAUAUAUACUAAUUAAGGAAAUUAUCUCUUCACCAUCUUAAUUUUAUCAUAUGUACAUCUAACUAUCAUAAAAAUUUAAAAAUGUUCUUUGCACCACUUUUAUUUUUAACUUUGUAUCAACCACUCACUUUGACACUAAAAAAUGAUCAUUUUAUCAUUAAAAAAAAUUAAAAGUCCAUUUUAUUCUACAAAAUAUUGAAAAAUAAAAAAAUUAUAAUUAAAAAAUACCCCUAAAUUUAAUAAAAUAAAUAAAUCUCAAAUCCAAUAUGUUAAUUUUUAUAAUCAUAAUUAAUUUCAUUUAAAAAAUUAUCAUGUUAAACUUUUGUAAUUAUAAUUUCAUUUAAUUUGUAUAGGGAAGUUUCUUAAUAUUAAUUAUGGGGAAGUUUACAAUAAUUAUAGGGCGUUUUUCUCUUCAUGUUAAUGUUUGUAAACUUCCCUAUACUUAAUUUAAUUACAAAAAUUAAACGAAGUUAUAAUUACAAAAAAUUAUAAUUAAUUUCAUUUAAAAAUUAUCAUCUUAAAUUUUGAGAUUUAUUUGUUUUACUGAAUUUAGGUGUUUUCUUGUGAUUAUAAUUUUUUUUAUUUUCUAAAAUUUUGUAGAAAGAAAUAGUCUUUUAAUUUAUUUAGGGGUAAAUUUGUUAUUUUUAGUUUCAAAAUAGUUGAUUGAUACAAGCUUUCAUAAAUAAAGAUAGUGUAAAGAAUAUGUUAAAAUUUUGUAGUGGAUAAAUGUAAGUAUUACAAAGUAAAGAUGAUGCAUAGAUAAUUUCCCUACUAAUUAUUAAAGUGUUAGCCAUCUAGCUCAGUCAUAAUAUUCUCAAAUCAUCAGGCAAUUAAAACUUACAGAUGUCAAGUAUGGAUAGUAGUUUCAUACGUCAUUAGAAUACUUAGGAAGGAUGCAUGUGUCGAGAUCAAUUAUAUAUAUAUAUAAAUAAAAUAAAAUAAAAUAAAUCCAAUGUCGAUUUCCCAAUUUUUUUUUUUUUAAAAAAAAACUAAGAUUUGGCCCUCCAAUAUGUCCUAACAUUCUCUCUUUUACUAGAAAUCAUAUUGGGUUUUACAAAUUAUUAAUCUUUUACUAGGGAAUGAAGUAACAUUUGAGUUGAUCUUAUAGCAGGCUCUCAUUUUCUCUCUUAAUUAAAGAUUGAGUAAAGGCAGAUAUUUUCCCACUAAUUCUGUGGGUAGACUAAAUAUACAAUAUAAAAUAAUUCACAAUAAAAUUGACCUGAAUGAUUUUAAUAAAUAUCUGAUUGUACUAUAUAUAUAUAUCAGUAAUUAAAAAAAAAAAAGAGUAACUAUCAGUGCAAGUGCAAACCAUUUGUUUGUCUCACCUGUUAAUUAGUUCAAUUUGAAGCAUGGAUGUGAUCAAUCGGAAAGGGACGUCGGCCGAAGGAAUUGUGAUUACAAACUGAAAGUAUAAUUUUCCCAAAAAAAAAGAACAAAAAUCAUGAAACAUUAAUUUCAUCAUUGUUCAAUGCUUUUCUUGCAUUGGGAGCCGAGCUUAUCUUGUUUAUACAACCACGGCCCACGGGUAACUAAAAUGCAAAUGCGAGCGCGAGCGCUAACAACAUUUACAAAAUAUUUAAAAAAAAAAGGCCAAACAGGCCUGAGAUCAAAUUUCUGGUCUGGGUCAGUGACACGUGUAUGGUUGGGUCGUUAUCAACUUUCAACAAGAGUCUUCUGGAGGGCUGGCAAAGCGAAGCAAAUUGGUUGCCACCACCAACCAGACUGACAGUGGGGCAAAAUCGAAGUAUCAUCGUCUCAUCAACUUGGUAGUAAAACCAUCCGUUAUCUGUAUGUAACCCUAAAUUUAAUAAAAAUCCCAAAUGUCGGAUAGAUUUUCCUGAGCCGUCUUCUGAAUAUGAUAGGGUGGGAGUGGGAUGCCUCCAAUCUCAAUUACGUCACAAUAACUUUGUUUAUUUUAAUAUCAUAUAUACUACUUGCCUCGGUAGCUGUUUUAAGUUAUUGGAUCAAAGCAGUUCGUCUAAUACAGACCGAAAUAAGUCUUUUUCGUAGAUGAAAUGGAAAGAAAGAAGACACAAGUAUUUGACUUUUACAUUUCCCUUGAUUUAGGGAAAUCUACAUUAUGCUUUCAUAGUGCCUUUAGGGGAAGCGGACACGGAUAACAGUUGAAUUGACAACCACACGAUUGCAGGUAAGUGACUAAGCUCUAUCCCGAAAUAUAACAGCAAUGUUUAAGAAGGAGAAAUUUGAAUGCUGAUCUCGGCUAAUGACUUAAUGACACGUGGUAAAGAAAGUCCGUGAAGUGAAGUUAACUUAUUUGACCGAGAUGGCAGUAUGCUCUCAAUUUUUGUAAAUAUGCUUAGCAUCAAAGGAUAUUGUUGGUCAGAGAUAGCAUGUGAACAGUGUGCACCAUUAUGAGAAAAAAAAUAAAAUUUCUUUUUUUUUGACUAAGAAUAAAGAGUCAAUAAGAAUAAAAAUUCUUUGAGCAAAUCAAUAAGAGGGGAUCAUGUCAGCUGUCAUUUACUGCUCUCCUAAAAAAUAAUAGGACCACUACACCAGCUUCCGCCAUGUAAUGAAGAGCAAGUACUACAUAAAAGAUAGAGAAAUUACUUACUCACCAAGCUUAUUUAGUCACUAUCAACUGAAUAAAAAAAAGAUAAUAAUAACCCCCCUUGAGGAAAGCAACACUAAUAAAAAAUCUCCAUUUAGUUGAAAAGACGAAACUACCCCUAAGACACCAAUCCUAUAAAUUCAGCUGAAAACACAACAGGGAUCUUUUUCAGAUGUAAUUUCUUAGGAGGCUGCUUCAUCUUCUUCCUCCAUUUUUACACCUCCAUGAAAGAUUUUGGCCAUCUCAUUUCUCAAAGAAACUUUUCCCUUACUCUUAUCUUAGAAAACUCUCUAAUCUUCAUAAGACCCUCGCCUCUCUCGUGUUAUUAUUCAUUAUCACUAACCUUUAAUAAGAUUUUGCUGGUAUUGUAAAGUAAAUCAUGCAAUACUUCAUAUAUAUAGUAGAUUGGAGAUUAACUACUCCCGUGGAUGUAGGCCAAAUGACCGAACCACAUAAGAUCUUAUGUGUUCUUUAUUAUUUAUGCUUAUUUUCUACUUAUUAUAAUGGUUUUAUUGCCUAAAUUGCAUUUUCUUUAUGAGUUCACCUGAGUUAUACCACGAGGCUUGCUCUCCAGAGCUAUCCUCAAGUUCACCAAAGCUAUACCCUGAGUGCUCUUGAGCUCCCCAUAUCAACCCCCUAAAUUAACCCCACAGAGCUCUCCAUAUUAUUUUAAACUCGGAAUACCUCAGUUCACCUCCUAAGACACCUCAAUUCACCUCUUAAAUCACUUCAACUCACCUUCCAAAUCACCUCAAUUCAGUUAAAACAAACAACAAUAAUAAUAUUAAUAUCUACAAAACUACUAGUCUUUACAAUCUGAGAGUACCGAAAUACAGAAAUAAAUCGAUUACAUUAUACUCUAGACACAUAUUUUGCUCUCGGAAUAAAUAAAAACAAAAAAAAAAAGUUAAAUAAUUAAAACAUAGUGAUAAAACAGAAAAUAUAGGACAAUCAAAACAGCUACAACACUCAUUGUACAUACACUAUUAUAUCAUGUCUUGCACAGGAAUGACUAGUCACCCAGAAAUCUCCUAAACAUCUCCCAGUGCAUUCUUUAUGUCACCCUGUGCCCAAACACCAAAAGGCAGACAAAAACUAGCUACUUAAAAGAACAAGAAGAAUAAUGUCAUGAAUAUCGGUUGCACAAAAUAUAAACAAAAACGGAGUACCUCAAUUGCCAUCGGAGAAGUGGUUGGGCUAUAACGCCCGAUGACAUUUCCUUCUGUAUCAACUAAAAACUUGGUGAAGUUCCACUUUAUUCUGGACCCAAAGUAUCCAGUUUUACUUGCUUUGAGAAAUUUAUAUAGAGGUUCCGCAUUUGGACCAUUGACGCGUACCUAAACAUUAUGGAAAUGAACAUAUUAUAUCAAUUACCAGAAAACAGAGGUACUUUCUGACAAAGAAUAGAGCACUAAACAGACUUGAAGAGUAAGUGCAGAAAAUACAGCUAUCGGUGUACAAACUAGCUAAAGUUUUAUAUAAUAACAUACGGUGAAGUGAAAAGCCUUUUACAUAUCUGGAAAUACUUUAACCUAAUAAGAGAUAUGGCAAAAACAGUAGACUUUCUUGAAAAAACAAUGAUUGAGCUUUUUCCUCACUAAAGGCCAACAUCAGCCAGAAAGAAUGAAUAAGAGAAUUCAAUUUUCUAGAUCUGAAGUAGAAAAUUAGUUGUCAACAAUGUAGAAGGAAAUACUAACUGCUGAACUUGUAACUAACAAAAGAUGAAAUCAACUAAAAUCAUAAUACAUUUUCGACAGUAGACAUACCAAAAGUUUCAAGGUGAAAACUCAUGACUACUGUAACUCUCGUGAUUUGGCAUAAUUAGAACCUCUUCUCUGAUGCAAAAGUUGAAUGGAUUUCAUUAUGAACCAACUACUUGUUCUUCCAUCAAAUAAAAUUUUGAUAUGCUUUAAAGGCAAAGAGACUUUUUCUAGUCCCCACUUCAGAGUAAGGUUUGAUCAUUGGGCUUUUAGUGAAUCAUUGCUCACCAGAAACAACAAUGUUUUACCAACACAUUUAGCACAUACUCAAAUAACAGACUUCAGAACAAGAAAAAAAAACAGUUUGCAAGUCAUUAACAAAAACAGAACAUCCUCAGAAGGGAAAGGGAAAAAAAAAAAAAAAAGAAUCAAAUCCCAAUAAAGAAUUUAAUGAUUAGUCAUCAAAUAAUUCUAUAACUAUAUCAAGGACCUUCAAAAGAAAAAUGUUUAUUUUGGAAACAAGACAAGAUUGAGAGCCACAGGAGGCAAAAAACCAGAUAGUGUACCUUUUGAAAGAUUGGAUAUUCAGCCUUGUAUCUAGUACAUGCAAAUUCGUGAGCCUCCUGACUUGUCCCAGGCUCUUGCUUCAAAAAUUGGUUGCACGGAAAUGCCAAGAUCUCCAAACCUGAAAUGAUAGGAGAAAAAAUAAAUUGGGAAGAAGAUUUUCGAAAGCAAAGAAAAUAAAAAACAUUAAGCAGCAGCAUAAUAUGCAAAUAAAAAAGGUUCAAAUUAAUAAGUAGAAAAUCAGAAAAGCAAUGAAGAAACAAAUUAAUUAACGUUAGGAUUAGUUCAUGGCAAGGACAAAAGACAUGAACAGAAUAGAACCUACAGUAGGCACCCCAGGGUCAAGGGCAUAUCAGAAAACUGGAGUUGGUUUGAAAAGAAAUAAGGAAAUUAAAAUAGAAUGAAGCACUUGAAAUAAGAAACAGUAAAAGAAAAUAAUAGACAUAUUGAAGAUGACGAAACAAUAACAGAAGGGAAAAAGAAGUGACCUUUAUGCUUGUAUUUGUUAUAAAGAUCAGUCAACUGGGAGUAAUUUGAAUCCGUAAAACCACUGAUUCAAAGGAAAACAUCACCAAAGGAGGCAAAACCAAAAAAAUAAAAAAAAAUAUCAGAUAUAAUUAAAGGAAAGAAAAAUAUCAAAUCAUAAAAAUAAAAAAUAAAAAAAACACCCAGAAAGAGAAAGAGACGAACCAUUUGGAGGCAACGUUAACAAUCAAAAGAACCUUGCCUUUGUAAAUGCUAAGGUCCACGUCCUUGCCCUUGCUAUCCUGCUCCAAACCAAACCCCCCCCCCCCCCCCCCACCCAUUUGAUUUUUUUUUUAUAUAUAUAUUCUGAAAAAUCAUCCAAUAAACUCAAAAUCUAAACAACGGAAGAAGAAAUGAAAUACCUUGACAGUGAACUCGUAGAUUGAUUUCUGUGGGACUGAUUCUGAAGCACCCAUUUGCUUUGUUUCGCUAUGCCGUGCUGUCCUGUGCUUUCUUAUCUCACCUCCCUUUAGGGGGUUCAAAUUUCGAAAUUGGAGUUGGGAUAACAAUUAAAUUAAUUUACCGAACGGCCGUGACUGAAAUUGCCUUACCAGUCGGGUAUCGGUUUUUUUUUUUUUUUUUUUUUUGUCAAAUUGAUUUUUUUACCUUCAACUACUGUUCCAGGACAGUUAUUAUUAUUAUUAUUAUUUAUUGUUAAUUUCACACUGUAGUUAAUUGACAUUUGCGUUCCUAUUAUAAAUGCAUAAUAUAUAUAUAAAAUUUCUGAAUCUAUCUUCUAACGCCGUAUUUUGCUGGGAAUAAUAAUAAUAUAAUAAUAAGAAACUUCUUUGAAAUCAUCAAAGCAAAUGCGCUGUCGCUGAGAUGAGUUAUAUAAAUAAUAAAAUAUUAUUAAUCCAUAACUGAUCCGGUAAGUUGGUCGAUUUUUCACUGCUUGGCUGGACAAUCUGUUGUUACUCGUGUUAUCUAAAUUUAGCGCGCGCCUUGCCGCCUUCCCGUUCUAGUAGUACAUAACGACAUCUACAAAAUACUUCCAAACACGCGCACACACAUGUAUCUCUGUGUUUCAUUUCUGUCUCCACUUCUCUAGAAUCAUCCACCCCACUUUUGGUGGACUCAACAAUUUAGGUUUUUAAAUUUUUUCUACGCUAUUAAAACAUGUUCUCAAUUACGCGUCUUGAACUCCGCUCAUUGCAACUCUUCUAUUCUAUGACGUCAAAUAUCCGCCGUCCAUUAUUUUUCCUUUUUUCCUUCUUCUGAUUGGCUCCAAGUUGCAUACAUACCAUUGAUUAUCCGGGUCUCCCCACUACGUUGUUUAUGCCCGCUAUAUCCGUAUUACAACCCCACCUUCACCCAACUCUUUCAUGAAAUAGGGUCAUACAUAUUUGAAAGCCAGCUUAAUGCAGCUAAUAAUACAGUUCGAAACUUAACAUGUGUGCGUAUGUCCUUCCUUUACAUUAACAAAAUUGCUGAAUAAUAAUAACUAUUCAAAAAACACAACAUGAUUAUAACAGUAAGGCUGGCUGUGUACACACACACACACACACACACACACACACACGAGACAUUCAAGCAUCUAAUCUAAAUUCUAAUUUAAACUAACAAAACCGGUGAAAUAGAAUUUCAAAUGUAUGAACAACCAACUGUUUACAGCAAAAUAGCGGAACCGACAUUAGCCCCCCAACCCCCAAUGUUAAAAUUAUGAUAGAAAUCCUAUAAUGGUCCGGCUUCCAAGAAUAAAACGAGCCUAAAACUGAUUAUUAGACAAUAUCCUAGAAUUAAUCACAGCUGCCCUCCCCCCCACCCAAAAAAAAAACAAAAAAAAAAGCUCUCUAUAGUUACCACAGACAAUUCUGACCGCCCUCCCCUCUCCUUUUGCAGAUGGGUUUAUAGUAUACAUAUUUAUAUAUACAACCCAGCAUGUCACCAGCAUGCUGCUCCUCUGGCCCUUGGGCUCAGCUGAAGUUUCUAUUACUUGUCCAGCAAAGAGAGUCUCUCUGUUUCAACAAGCCGCAAUAACCCAGAUCAAAAAUAUUGGUGGCCGUACCUAAAAUAGUGCAAAGCAGACAUAAUUCCAUAAGUUAAUAUGGCAUCUUAUUAGAUGUAUUUAACUUUAUUUAAUAAUGCCCAUCCACUAGCAUGGGUUAUAGCUCUCAAAUUCGAAUUCUAUGUAAUUGGCGAUUGCAGCCCUCUGUUUCACACGAGGUGCAUGUCCCGUUGCAUACAAUUCAGCCAUUCCAUGACAUGAAGAAUCAGUUCAAUUAUUAACAAUGACAUACCGAUCCCUCACGUUUCAUAAAUACUUUUUCACCUUGGCCGCCAAGCGCCUGGAGCUGAAACAGCAGAAAAAAGUUUUUAAAAAAUCAAUGAAUAAAUAAAAUACACUUAGCCCCUCUAAAUUUUGCACUUAGCCUCUCUAAGUUUUGUAAUAUUAACACUUGCAUGUACCUACCAACUACAGCAGAUCAACUGCUAACUCCUAACUGAAUUACUGAUUACUUCAAUGACAUUGCAAGAACAAAUCCAGCAACAGAUAGAAACUUCACAAACAGCCAAUAACAAACAUUUUUGGUUUUCUUUAUGAAGAUAAUCUAAUAUAAAGAUUACACACCUCUUAUUCCAACUGGAACUGCACCUCCAGAAGGUGGUCUCAUGUGUCUGUGAUUCAUUGGCCUGGGAGGAUAUGCCCACCCUCGGUUUGAGUAUCUUGGUGGCUCACGCAGUGGACCACCAUAUGAGCCAGAUGGAUAACAUUCUCUGGCUUCGUCAGGAUAUCUUGGACCUGGAUGCAGAGAGAUGAAUAUUCACAAUGUAACCAGAGAACAGAGCUAAACCUGCUAUCAUUCCUAGUGAAAUAGACUUCAAUGGAGGGACCUUACCAGAAAAUGAGGGUGCAGAAAACCUCCAGCUCUCUCGGUGUUCAUAUGGACCCGGUUUCAUUCUAUCAUGGUUAUUGUAAAAGUUCCCCCCAUCAAAAUUUGGAUGAGGGUGGAACCUGUGGGAGUUUGAAGGGUGUGGAGCCUCCCUCCGGGACUUGGCACUUUGACUUGCCUGAACAUAUGAAAAAUGAUUUGACUGUGGAGCAUGUGGUGGACGUGGAGGGUAUGGUUUGUUAUGGAACCUAGGGCCAUCAGUUUGUUGAAAAUUAUUUGACGGACACAUCGAGUAACAGCCAAAAGAGCUGGUAGACUCAGGCAUCUGCAUUGGCAUCUGAUGAUCUCUACAUUCAGAAGCAUGAUAAUGAACUGCAUUGGUGGACACCGUUGAAUUGAUUCUUGGGGCAACUGACUGCUGGGUUACAGAUUGUUGCCCAUCAUUUUGCAUAUUCUGAAAAUGUAGGGGAAAAAAAUAAUAAUAAAUAACAGAUUACACUCAUAUCCAUAUUCCUUUAAAUGAAGUUUAGAAAUCCAAACAGGAUUAGCACUCAUAUCCAUAUUCUUUUACAUGAAAGUUUAGAAAUCCAAACAAGGAUAGCACAUACCUGCAUGCUAGCUCCAUUAGAGUAGGAGUCAGAGAAUGCACAUGAAUGAGGAAUGGAGGGAGGUGGUGGCAGAACCGGAGGGGGAGAUGAUGGCAGUGGUGGUGAUGAUGGGGGCACAUCUUGCGGAAGAGGAGGGACAAAAGACAAUAACUGAUCAUGUGAUGUCUGGGCAAUAUCAACUAAAACGGUUGAACUCAUCUCAUUGUCACAAGUGGGAGCUACAUCCUCCAUUUCAAGCUCACCAUCUACUUCUUCCAAGAUAUGUCUAUGCUUUUUCAUUGAAGGAUUAGCAUCACGUUCUUCAGGGAUUUCAGAAUUAUGUUCAGGAGUGACGGCCUCAAAACUACCCCCAUCAGAAUCACUUCCAUCAUCAUCAUCCUUGAGCAUGCGGGGCAUACAAAAUCCAGGAAGCUGAAAACUUGAAUUGCUGAAGCAACAGCAAUGCAUCAGUAAAAGAGUAUAAACAGUUAAAUUGUUUAGACUAUAAAAACGGUUCACAAAGUGCUACCUUCCAUAUUCAUCAACAAGCAUACCCUCCAUGUCCCUAACAGGAUCAUCCAGAGCCCUUUCCGUUCUUGAUGAGCGGCGAGAAUAAGCAACAGCAGAAGAUGAACAAGUAACGGUAUCAAGUUCACGCAUAUGGUGGCGAAUAAUGGAUUCUGGCAGGAUUCGUCUUUCCAGCCAAAGUCUCAAAACCUAUAAAAGGGAACAUAAAUUGGGUAAGAAAUAACCAAAACACAAUAAACUUAUUAAACUAUGACAAUGAAUGACAAAACAUUCUCACUUGCCUUCAAACACUGCCUACGAUUUUCCUGAGCCACGUUGCCAGGAGGAGCAGCAGCUGACAGUAACCUUGGCAGAACCGUCAGAAUAGCUGAAGGUAUUAUACCACUAACAUCACCUGGGUAUUCAAAGUCAAUAUCAACAUAACACCCAUAUAAACAGACAUGUGCGAUUGACAAAACACAUCACAAAGUAAUCAUGCAAUUAAACUACCAUAUUACUAAGUAUUUGCACUAUUAAGACAUCUGAUACAUUACCUUUCAUACCUCGAGAACACUGCAUGAUAGAAUCCACAAGGAAAAACAAAUCCACCCUUCUGUAUAAGCUAGACUCACUUUCCAAAUGACGGGCUACAAUUUCCACAACCUGGUUACACAGAAAACUAGAAUAUCAAAAAGGAAAAUAGUCUAUUAUUGCAUUAAAACUAUAUUAUCAUUUUAAGUUCAUGAGUUCACCUUUCCAUAAUGAAUAUGUUAUAUUACAACUUCAUACUUGUAAAAAGGGAAUGACAGUAAGAAAACAUAUAAAGUGCAAAGUAAGGCCAUACUAAAGCAUUCAACAUAACCAUGCAAAGAAUAAUAACACUGAAUUAAACAAAAAUUUAAUAUCUAUUGACAUUUCAAAGCGACAAACAACAAAACCACAUAAUAAUAAUAAUAAAUAUAAAUUAAAAGAAAAAGUCCUCUGCACAUUGUCUCAAAAAAUAAAUAGCGCCUUCAGCACAUGAAAAGUGUUAAAUAUAUUAUCAUUCCAAACAACAACAAACAUAAAAAAUCAAAACAGAAAUAUCAUUAACCAGAAACCCCACCUAACUUAAUGAUCACCACUAAAUUAUCAAUGUUUGUCUUUUCUUUGAGGUCCUGCCUAAGGCAUACAUUUCAGGUCGCAAAUGCUUCCAUGCUCACAAACAAAAUAAUGUCGAAGCGAGAAAAUCAUCAAGGCAUUGAAAAGGAGAAAGAUUUGAGUUCCAUCUGAAAUUGACAGUCUCGUUCUGGCAUUUCUGUUAUUUAAAAAAAAAAAAAAAAAAAAAAAAAAACCAAUCCCGCAAAGAGCCCGCAAGCAAUUCAUCUGUUUUGGUUAGUGGUUUUUCAGUCUUAUCCACUCUCUCGUGAUCCCUACUCUAAUCAAAAGAAAAUGUGUUUUGCCUUUUGAAGCACUCACAGACAAAAAAAAUCUCCAAUCAGGCAACUGGUAUAUGGCUUAUAACAUAUGGAACCCAAUAGUUUUUCCAUUGAAUUAAUUGCCAAAAUAUCAGAAGAGAACAAAAAUUAGAUGUUAAUUCUAUUAAACAAAAAGUUCUGAGCAUUAUAUUCACAAGGGCCACCUUAUACAAAUCCCCCCACACCCCCCCCCAAAAAAGACCAAAAAAAAAUGCAUUAAAAAUCUUACAAACACCAAAUGAAAAUAUUAUCACGGCAUUAAAAUACCUAAAAUUUCUUAAACUCGUUCUUUACUAUAUUAUUUUGUCCAUUUAUGAACUUCUACUUAGCAUAUCAAUAUCAUUCACCUAAAAUGACUAUGAAUCUUACGUAAAGAUACAAAAUUGAGGUCUUAGUAAUUAUCCACAGAUCAAUCCUCAUCAUCAAUGAACAUUAUAGAUCUAAUACUUUUAACAAGGUGAAUCAAAUGAAGUAUGGAAAAAAGUAAACAAUGAUAUUUUAUACCUUAGAAGAGACACCAAACUUUGCACAGUCGAUUGCUAUGCGUGUUGCUCGACCAAUGCUCUCCUUGGUCCUAGUCAAUGAUCCAAGGACAGCCUCAAAGGAAGAUAGAGCAGCAUGUGCUUCUGAACAACUGCUCCACUUUCCAACAGAUUUUGGUCUCUGAGUCAGUGUUGUGUCAACUUUUCCCUCAUCAGCAACUGGUGCCCCUAAGGACUUCUUAUACUGUGAACGGGCAUAGGGACUAGAGCUACUGCUUUGAACAAUAUUGGCACUUUCUGAAGUGGAGACAUGGCAAAGCGAGGUAUUGGGUGGAGAGACCCGUGCAGGCGAAUCCACUCCCUCAGCAGGAGAUGAACUAAAUAGGACACUUGCAACACCUUUGUCACCCAAAUGAUCAUCAGAAAUUGAAACAGAACUCAUUUCCUUCUGCUUUUCAUUUUGUUUGAUUUCUUCCACAGCCUCACACCUAAUACAAAGAUGUAAAGAAGAUAUCGAUAUUCAUGCCAAAGAUGCUAAAAAUGACACUAACAGAUAACGAACAAGAAAAAAUGACAAUUCAGUCAAGGCCAGCAAUCACAAAUUUAAUGUUUAAAUUUAAAUACCAUCAAUGUCCUAUCACCAAAGAGAAUAAUUUCAUUGUUAAUUAACUACUAUAUACCUGAAAUACAAUAAGUUCGGUCUUUCAGAGGUGAGGAGAGGGGAAUCUUUAAAGAACAAACAGAAUCUAGUAUUAGUGCUUUAGAGAAUAACCAUAGCAAAAUUAGGCCCACGAACUUACCUAGCAUUAAUAUGGCAGUUGUCAUCAAUUUGAGACUUCAAAGACUCAGAAUUCUCAUAACUCAUGCCCUGUACACUGUACUGAAGCUCAUUUGAACCAUUUUGAGGAGAAAGUUUAACACUUUCAUCAGCCCCAGAGACAGGAUCCAGACUCAAUUCCACAAGCGCUGAAGUAUUGAACUCUUUAUCAACAUUUUCAACUCUACUAUCUUUCAACUGAAGAUCCUCAGCACUGCCUUCAUCCUUUAAAGACAACUGAUCCAAUGAAUUUUGAUACAAUUGGAAAGAAGAAUGUCUUUUUUUAGGAUCCGGCAAAAUAUUUACUGGAGUUUGGGUUUGAACUGCAGUUUGAAUAGUAUGAACAGAAAAAGGCGACCCAGGAAGAUCUUUGCCAUCAACAUUGUCUACAGACCCUACAUCAUCUCUAAAAGAUUCCUGUUUUUGGCUAUUACAAUUCUCGGAGAGUUGAUCACAUGUGGGAACAUUCUGGAGUCCCGAACCACUCCUUUCUCUGCUAUCCACGGUCUCAUGAGAACAUUUACAAAUGGAAUUGACACAACACCCAUUAAUAGAUGUGUUUAUCAAAGAUGACGCCUGAACAGAUGCUUGGCCUUCUUCAGCUGCAUUAGCUGACAUAGCUUCCAAGGCACGAUGAAGGCGUUUAGAUGGAGGUAAAGCAGCUUCACCAUCUGCUGAACAACCAAAUGAUUGAUUUGUCGUCCCCUUCCAAAGCUGUGGCCUAUUUCCUGAAACCUCACUACAAACCUUUGAAGGUGAUACACUAUCAGUUGAUUCCUUCACUAAAGAAGGGCCUUUUUCAGUAAAACCUUCAUCAUAAUUGUUUAAUGAGGGACUGAUAUGCUCCACAAGAUUGACAGCAGUAUCCUUGGAGGGUUUUUCUUCAGUCUGCAAGGAGCUUUUCAACUCCUCUUCAGAUGAUGGUUUGCCCAUUCUCACCCUGGCUCGUUUCACCAACGGCAGGUGCUCAUCUCCAUCUUCUUUAAAAUCCCUUUCAUCCAAAUUUCCACCAGUAUUUUCUGAACUAUGACAAGUGUUACGUGUACUGACAUCCACUUCUGUUGCUGUAUUAAUUCUAGCAGGAGGAUCAACAGCAUCAUUACACACUCUCUUUCGAUUUGGUUUUCUUUUCUUCUUAACAACAACGGCCUUUAUUUGAAAAUCAAGCCUUUUGCUUAACAUCUCAUCUCCAUCCAAACACUCAAGAACAGUCUCAGAGUCUUCAACUUUACAACCAGAAUCCACAGUGCUGCCUUCAUUCAGACUAAAGGCAUCAGAUUCAACUGUUACAAUCUCAGAACUGUUAUCUUCAAUGCUACCAUUUGACAUCAAAGCAGAUGAAUCCAAAUCAUUGCAUUCAGAGCCAUCAGGAGACUUCCUUGUUCGUUUAUUCCUUAUGAGGGAUCCAUCUAGGAUACUUUUAGCUGAAAUGCCCUCAGCAUUCUUCCCCUCAUUAUUAUAUGGCAUCAUCAAGUUUUGCAAUCUACAGGAUUCAACCAUUGUCGAGCUUCUCGACCUUCGAGUUGAAGGUGCCAUUCUCUGAGUACUUUGUAAUCGUGACCCUCCAGAUCUUUUUCUCGAGGAGUAUGUGGUUAAAACAGGUGUUGCUUUAGCAACCAAAUUUUCAGAAGGUUGCUCAGGUAAUGGCUCUUUAGCUGGUAAUGCAUCCAAUUGUCUUCCAGCUGGAGAAUCCUCAGUUGGGAGAUUUAGACCAUCACCAGCAGUUGAGUUGGAAGGUUUCAUUUGUGAAUCAAGAGUUGCCUCAGAAGCUUCUGUUCGAUCCUUCAAGUGGGAAAUCGAGUUCACUGAAUUCCCACCAUUUGCCACAGUGAGCUCAUCACCAGAAUUAGAAUCAACUUGGUCCUGUUUCUUUAACUUUUCAUAACUGUCAAUAAUCUCCUGCACUGCACGAACAAAAUCAGCACCCCUUCCCUGGCGUUUCGUCAAAAGAGAUUGUUUCUUCUCUUCCGUAAAUGCUUCAACAUCAGCAGGGUUGCAGAAGGCUCUGCAUGAAAAGUAUCCAUUCAAAUUAAGAAACAAGGUAAUAUUUAGCUCCUAGAAGAACUGUAAAAACACUUGGAGAGAGACAAGAAUAAAAAAAAACUAAAAUCAUCCUUAAAAAAAAAAAAAAGGACCAACAGCAUCAAACCACCAUCAUCCCCCCACCACCAAAAAAUAAAUAAAUAAAACAAAAAUCUACCACCAGGAUAUGUGGCUGACAAAGUGAACAAACAACUCCAUAAAGAUACAAAAAUAAAAAAUAAAAAUAAAAUUCAUAUACAAAGAAAAAAGGUACUAGUGUACUUAUUUCAAGGACCAAAAAAACUACAAUAGGAACAAUAAUUUUCUUUUGGAUAGGAACAAUAAGGGAGUAAUAACAUGAAUAAUAACAUGAAAGCAGCCUUUCUUUUAAAUGAAAAAUAAUGAAUGCUGCAUUAAGCGAAUCCUCAUACAGAAAAAGUAUACAUAACACAAACACAAAUCCACCUGCUCACUUUGCAAUAACACAAAUGGAUAAGCCAAAAAAAAAUGGUGAAAAAACAGUUCAUACAUAUAAAACUACCUGCAAACAAAUAGAUGUCAUUGUUAUCUUACAGAUUAAUGCCACAUAAAUUGCCACACUAGGAAUCUUAACUUUUAAUUAAUCUCCCUAAGAAGGCAUACUAGCCCAUCAAAAUCUCUUUAUAACUGUGAUAGCCCAACAAAAUCAGCCUACAGCAAAGAACAGAAAAGUCACCGCACACACAACAAGAAUGCAGGCUACAAAUAUAUCAAAGAGUCCCUUCGGCAAUCCCAAGUCCUGACAUAAUAUUUUCCUGUGUAUAAAUAUCAAUGCAGAUAAAUUCUCUUCUAAAUAUAUAUCUUACCAUAAUUGAUGUUUGAUACUAAAUAUUUUUCAAGUACUAAUGUUUUGCCAUUAUUUAAAUAUCCUUUUUGAUAAGAAACUCAAAGUUAUAUUAAAGAGGAACCCAGGAUUAAAUGUCAAUGCAAUGAAAUGCUCAAACUUUUCAAAAAUAUAUCAUAAAUCCCAUGGUUGAUGUCAGAUAAAAAAUAUUUUCAUAUGCUGGGAAUAUAUUUUUCUCAUGUUUCACAAGCAUUGCUGACAAUAUUUCUGGGUAUUUUACCAUAACCUUAUUUGAAAUAACGUCCUUAUUCUGAAAAACAUUCUAUAAUUUAGAAAAAUAUUAACUUUGCAAAUGAAAUUUAUUGCAUUUACUAGAACAAACAAAGUGUCAAGGUGAAAGGACAAGAAAACUUCCUAAACCUUCAUGUGCAAUAGACCACAACAGACAAGAAAUUUCAAUAAAAAGAGAACAUUUUGCAACCAUCUGCAAUUUCUGUCAUAUACGCAACUGGUGGAAAAACCAAAAAGACUAAAUAACCGUUGGACAUCUCAACCAUGGUUCUAUUUUUCCCCUUUGACAAAGCUGCUUACAAGGAUAAAUUCCAAAUGAAGUGUAUUUCAACAUAGGAUCAGUGCACUUGCUAGAAAAAGAAGCCCAAAAGAAAUUAUGAAUAAAGAAUAUAAUCUAGGUUUUUGGUUAUGGGCACCCCAAAAAAAAAAAGGCACCUGCAGAAAUGAACAAGAAUCUAACUACAAUCUUCCAACAAAACCCAGCACAAAAUUGGAGGCCUCAUUUACCUAAAAAUUAACAGUCUUCAAAUGAAACCUAAAUAAAAUAAAACAAUUAAAAAAAUGUAGCUCAGGUUGCAGCCAUCAGCUGUCGAAUGCAUCACACUCAACUAACGCACACACUCCUUCAAGUAAGUGAUAAAUUUGCCACCCAGAGAUUCAUAACAUAAAGAGUAAUUUUUCAAAAAUAAGAACUCAACUGACCAAUUUAAUUGCUUUCAGCUUUCAUAAAAUGGUCAAUAAAUCUAUCAUUUAAUCAUUUGUCAAAGAUAAAAGCAUUCCUUUCCAUCAUUGCACUUCCUAGCUAUAACAAAUAAAUAUCUUGCUGAAAACAGGGGGGGGGGGGGGGGGGGAACAUUGCAAUCAGAUCAAAUUGAGUAUGAAGGUAUGCCCAUAACACUAUAUUAUGAAAUCAUUCCCUUCCUUGGCUGCAGGAUUGUCUUCCUAACUUAACUUGCCUCUAGACUUCUAAGACAACUCGUUAGACACAUGAAUAUUCGAUAUUUAUUGGUUCAAAAUCUGUCCGGCAUAUGGAAGAAACCCGUUUAAUAUUGUUUUAUCUCACGCAACAUCCCAAUUUAACUUUCUACUCUUUGCAAGUCUAAUUACAAUAAUUUGAAAUAAAUUAGCAUACAGUCACAUCAUGACUGUAUCUCUAUCAUAUUAUAUCACAAAUUUGUUGUAUCAACAACAAGCCAUCUCUUUUCAAAAAAAAAAAUGCCCACAUCUAAUCUCACUCACAAAUAGCAAUGCCAAAACGCUCCACUCCCUAGUCCAAACAUUUCAAUAAGUCAAUCACAAUGAUAAUUCACACAAAGUAUCGUAAAAAUUCAAAGGCUGCUUAGAUAUCUUGUCACAUAGUCAAUUAAACAAAAACAAAUUGUAAAAAGAAACAAGCAAAAAACAAUAAUAUUUUUGAAAUUCAACAUCUGGUGGCUUAUUUGGAACUCAGCUGCUUAAGAAAAAAUGCAAUAGCGUUUUCAGCUGUAGUUUAGACAAUUGGUAGGAAACCCAAAACACAUAAAAAGACUCAAAAGUCAUUCUUGACAUAAUACUAGUUCUACUGAAUGAAUUAUGUGUUUCUAAAAUGCUGUUCUAAAAGCAGCAUCAUAAAACAGACAACAAAUUAAAAAAGGGCAAUGAAGGCACCUUCAAGAUGCAAAAGCCAAGGGAGACCUUAGAACCAAUGCAACAUAAUGCUUCAACAAUAAUCUGCCAAAACACCUCAAUCACAUGUCCAAAAAUAAAAUCUACAUAGGAAUUGAAUGCACAAAAAUCUUGGUAAUUCCCACAAAAUUCCUAAAGUAAUAAACAGGAUUAUAAGAAAUUGUAACUAAGGACUAGCCUUAUGGUGCCAUAAAUCAAACAAAUUAGAAGGUAAAGUGUACCAAGGGAUGCUAAUCUUUCCAUCAUUUAUUUUAUUCAACCACCAUUUGAUUGAGUUUUAAGAAAAAACAAGAAAAAAUAUCCAAUGACUGCUCAAGAAUAGGCAUUCAGGUUUAUAGGGAUACAAGCUAAGAACAACGUAUUGAAAAAAGAAAGAUUCACAAAAGGUGAAAAAGUUGCCCACCAGCCUUGACUACACCCAAGAAUUUACAAUUAAGAGAACAUCUUGAAAAAGAAAGCUUCUAUGGACUAAACAGAAUCAACAACUUCAAUGAAGGUAAAGACAUUCCACACAUAAGAAAAUAAAAUAAAAUAAAUUGAAAAAAAAGAACUUCCAAAUCAUCAAAUAUAUGAACAGAUGCUAAGAACUGAGCUCUAUCCCAAGCAUUUUUUGUUCCUUUCUAGCUAAAUAACCCAUAAAAUAGCCAAAAUACAACUCCAAAAUCCUUUCAGCACUUUUUUCUCAUCUAGCAAAAGCCGACGUGUUCAGAACACAAGAGGGCUUUACUAUAUACGCACACAAGUGUUUACAGAAAACAACUAUGCACCACAUAAAGCAUGAUCCACAAUCAUACUCCCAUUGAAUAAUCAGUAACAUAUAGAGAGAAAAUAUAAAACCAACCAAUAGAAAUGGGUGUAUAUGAAAUGCCUAGAUAUCAAUUAACCCAUAUGAAUGCAUCAUAUUGUAACUAAGCAAUCAAUUAACUUGAAGGAACCAAAACGAAUAUGAUUCACAAUCAUGUGUAAAAUAGUUUAGGACAAAACACCCCAAUAUAGCUGAGCACUCACAUUUGUUGUGUUCCAAAAAAGAAGACUAGUACUUUCUUCCAAUCCGCUGAAUAGCCCCACUUUUCCGGCUCACUUACCUGCCAUUAAAAAAAAAAAAAAAAGGCAAUGGUCAACCAACCAAAAAUCAAAGCAAUUUUUGAAAAAAGUAAAAAAUUGUGACUUCAAGACUUCAGUUUGUAAAACUGAAAGUACUACAUGCUAAAGAAUAAACUUCUUUUGGGUACCAGAAGCAUUUCAAUAGCAUAAAGAGAGAAAAAAAUAAAAUACCCAUAGAAUUUAACUCAAUUUUCGACUUAACCAGAAAAAAGAAUAAAUAGAUUCCUCUGGAAGCCCUCAUUUUAAUGAGAUAUAAACAAAUGGCUCUGUAAUUUUUUUUUUUAGGUACUAGGGUUUGGGAGUUCUAAAGCUGAUUCAUCAAAUAAUCUCAAAAAUAACCACAAAAACUGACCCAACAAAUAAAAAUUAUAUCGAUCAAACAGUCCACUGAAAAUAUAAGUCCUAUCACAAGAACAUGCAAAUACCAAUUACAGUUAGGAAAAGAAUCAAUUAACAAUGGGCAAGAAAUUAAACUUCAAUACAGACCGAGAAGCACACCCAAUUAACAAAAUCCCUAAUAAAGAUCAACCCAGCAAGCCCAGACCGUACGCUCAAACCAAACCAGGAAAACCCUAACUAAAUGCAUAUUCUUGAACUAACAAUCACUUAAAGAACAAUCUUUUGGUUGUUGAAAUUAAUCAUGUAAACAAAAAGAGAUAUAUGAUGCGUUGCAUACCGUGGCAGGCCAAGCGGGGAAUCCUUUGACUUUGGCAAGCACGAGAUCGCCGACCUUCCACUGGCGACGAGCGGCGGCCGCGGCCGCGGCUUUGCUCGCUCCUUUUCUCCGACUCGGCGCCAUCGGAGAAUUGCACCACACUCAAUCGAUAAAAUUCUACGGCAACAAACGAGUUGAGGCUAUAACAAAACAGACGGACUGAGAUAAACACGCCAAAAUUGCUCACGCGAAGGAGCUAUUUGGCUCUGUCUAGGGUUCUCGAGGCACGAUUUGGCAAUGAAAUUUGCAGGCAUUGAAACGCACAAAUCGCUGGAAAAGAGAGGGAUGAGUAUCUCAAAACCCUAAUUUAUGUAGGAGCAAGCAAGCGACUGUGUAUGUUAAUGUGAGUGUCUUGACUGUUUAUGUGUAAAUAUUGGGGGUGGGGGGUUAUCGUGGUUGAAGAAGGGUAUUCACGCACAAUCACAAACGAGAAUUGACAGAUAUUGAAAUGGAUCGGUGGGGGCUUGGCUAAAGUGAGCUGCGGCGUAGGUUAACACCGCCGGGUGGUGGGAUAUCCGCUAACGUGCGCACAAUGUAGAUUCAUUUUCAAAAAAAAUUGUUUCCGAUAAAAUUAUUUACCAAUAUCACCAUAGUAUAGUAAGAGAAAGAAAGAAAGUAAAUAAAAGAUAUAAUGUCUUGAGAUAAAUUUUAUUUAACCACAUAUAUAUUUAAAGAAGGAGUAGAUGCCUCCUUCUCUAGUGAUACAAUCAUAAAAAAUGAUGAAUAAUAUAUUAAAAUUAAAAGAGAUAAUAAUUCUCAAAUUAAGGAGUUAAUGGGAAUUAUAAGAAGAUUAGAGUUUGCUUGUGGAGAGAUAAAAGUUUACUUUGAUGAAUAUUCACAUACACAAUAAGUGUUUUAUAACCCUUCCCUUGAAUGUUUAUCUUACAAAAAAUAUGCCUUAUUAACAGUUUUGCUAGUAAAAACCCUAAAAAAAAAAAGAAAUAGCGAUUGAAAAAGAUAUACUAUUCAUUUAUAUUGUAAGAAAAUACAAAUUACUUCAUUAAAACCUCAUUAAAAAAAACUCAAUGAGAUAAAAACCUAAUGAAUGAAAAAAAAAGUAUUGGGCAUGAUUUCAUAUGUCCCUUCGUAUCAAUAACUCCCUUCAAUAAUUACACUCCCCAUCAAAGUGACAUGUGUGCUUCAAUGAUCACAUUUUAUUGUAAUAAUAAUUUGAUGAAAUGAUAUACAGUGUCAACACUAUCCUUUAAAAACUUGAAAACAUUUAAUAAAUCAAAGGCACCAUCAUCUUGAUUGAAGAAUAUCGUCGUACAUAUAUCUUCAUAAUUUUGUCGAUCUUCUCGAAUAAAACCAAGUUUUAGCAUCAAUAUGAAGAAAAAAGUACAAUAUAGUUUUCAGACUCUUUUGAUAGUUUUCAAGUUAAUGAUAAAUAUAUUUUAAUUUGCAAUGAUGCAACUUUUUCAUUAUCUUUUUAGACACUGGUUUGAAUAAAAUAUGGCACUUCAGGACCAAGACAUGUACAUUAUAUUUUAAAAUAUAACAAUUUUUUAACAUGAAAUACUUUUGUUAUUUUUAUAAUAUCAGCAUUCCACUUGAUAAAUUUUAAUUCAUAAAUUGAAAGAAAUUCUUUCAUUUCAAAAAUUUUCAUCUUGAAUUUUAUUUUUAAAAGAAGUAAAUUCAUAAACUCUUCAUAAGUCUUUUUAUGAUGAAAUCAUCAACAUAUUUUGUAAAAAUUACAAAUUUAAGCUUUAGUUUUUAUUAAAAUUGCAGCAAAAUGGAUAAUGGCAUAUCCCACUUACAAAAAAUCAUUACUGAAGUGAUUAUAUUUUAUAAGUCUAAAUUGUUAUAAUGUACACAAAUAUGAUUAUAGAUCUAUGAAGAAUACAUAAGGUGCAAUCUUUUUGAUUUAGUACUUCAAUUACUUCUCUCGAGCAUUUUAUUAUUUUAAGAUAAGUAAAGAAAUUCUUCAAUUUAAAUUUGACAUGCUAUAGUUCAAAUUCAUAUUUUAGUAAUGAAUUUUAUACUUCAGGUGUAUGGAUUACAAGUCCAAAACUCUUCAAAUUUUACUAAUCAACUUUACAUUCUCUAGCCUCUUGACUAUAGAUGCAAAUAUUUUACAAUUUUAGCCAAUUAUAUGAUUUGAUGAUCUUCACAUUUUAUAAUUUAGGAUCUUGAAGCUUUUAUCACAACAACUAAGUUUUUAUUGACAACAAUCUUAUGUCAAUUUCAAAUUUUCUCUUGCGCUAAGCACUAGCAUGCCAUCGAUUAAAUGUUUUUAUUUUUUUUAAUAUAUGUCCCAAUGAGAUCUUUUAAAGUUUCUAAUACUUAUACUUUGUAAGGGUUAAAGAUCUCUCUUUCUUAAAUUGUAUGCAUGUAUCUUAUAAGGCAAUUUGAAUCUCUUUAUUUCUCACUAUUGACCUUUUCACGGGCAUUUGAUAAUCAAUUUCUAAUUAGUAUAUCAUGCCUCUCUAGCGAUAUUAUAUUCCAUAAUUUAAUAUAGUUCAAAUAUAUUCAAUAAUUAAUAUAGAUUAAAAUGUUUUGCUAUACAUGCAAGCAUGGUCCGUUCAAAAGCAUCGAAUUAUUUCGCUUCGACUUUGCAAGAAUUAAAGUAUUUGCAUCAAUUAAUCUAUCACAUGUUUCAAGCAUUCAUAUGUUUACUUGUAUGACUAUUUCAUCAUUCAAUGACACCAUGUAUACCAGCCACAAUCAUAUUAUAUUCAUGGUUUUCUCAAUUUCACAAAUAUUUGCAAUUCAUCGUAAUUUUCUUUGUCUCGAUAGAAUAUGGAAUCAUCAAAAGAAUCCAUGACUCCUUGAUUGAAAUUCAUGUGAAGUUCUAUUUAUUCAUGCAUUUAGUCUUGUUAAGCCAAAUUAGUGAAGAUGUUGGAUUUGAACUUGGGGCCUAUCACCAAAUAUUAAUUCCGAGUCUAUCCCACUUAUGAGGGUGUAAUUUUCACAUUUGAUUUUUUAUAUCAAAUGAUAAGACCUUUGGCCAUCAUAACUUUGAAAAGUUAUAUUUCCUUGUUAAUCAAUUAAGAACCAUUCACUCCAUCAAAUGAAAUUUGUGGAUUGUUAGAGAUUGAUGAUGAUUUUAAGAACCAAACAAAAGGAAACAAAGAGAAAGAUAUCCUAUUUAUCAUCUUUUGAAACUCUUAAUUUGCUACUUCAGGAGCAUAUAAAUAUUCAAGCCAUUAUACAUAAAUUUUGUAACAUAUACACUUUAUGAUUCUCUUUUCUCACGUAGUUUAAUAUAGAAAAUCAUAUAAACUAUCAAAAUAUCAGUACUUAAAAGCCCUCGAAGUUACAAUUUCUAUUAACUUACCACAAAGGAAUAAAUUGAUAAUUUAUCAUAAAAUAUUUAAUUUCAACUCUUUCAAGAAGAUUAUGGUAAAGAAAAAUUACGAUUUUUUAAUUUGUAUAAUUCUUUAGGAAUGGUAAAGAUAUUAUAAUCUAUUAAUUUUAUAGUCCUUCUAAGACAUGACGGUGAAUAAAACAACUAUUUUAUGUAUCGUCCAUUGGGGACAUAUUUGAGCCACAACAAUUUCUUAUGAUUUCUUUUUAAUUUAAUUUAAUGUAAGAAAACCACAUAAAUGAGUUUUCAAAAAUAUUUCAACAUUUGAUGAUAAUAUUUUUCUUUCAUAUUGUUUCAUGAAACAAGUUUGCUGUCAUUUUUUCAUGAGGUUACAAUCUUUCCUCCUAUAGGGAAAUGAUAUAUGAUGAAGGAAAAUCACUUAUUAUUAUUUUUUAUUUUUUUUGGUCAUUCAAGGACGAGGUAAUGAACAAAGAACACCAAUUUUAGUGUAAUUCUUCAAGAAUAUAUAGUUAAAGAAAUUUUCAUCAUAGUACAAUCUGUUGAGGAUGCAUUCUAAAUUUUCUUUCAUUUUUUAUUGCAAUAUUCACACUGCAGGAUUGGGCCUAAUAUCCGAGUGGGCCAAAUAUCCAGUCCAGUUAAAGAAGGAUCCAAUCUUCGUAGCAUAUGACAUAACAGAGCGAGGCAAAAAAAAAAUCUCUUCGAGAUUAUUUUGGUUCCAAACCAAAACCCAGCUGGCUGCGUCAUUGGCUAGCUUUCUUUUCAAGCACAAAAGCGUUCUUAAUUCUUACCCUUGUUUGGAAAAAAAAAAAAAUUUGCACAUUGGUCGAAAGAAACUUAAUUUCUUGGACUAAGAGUAAUAAACAUGGCAAUUCUCAAUUUGAAAAGAACAUGACAUUUUUUCAAACAAGAUCGAUCAGUGAUUUUAAAUUUGUCAAAUUAACUAUUGAAAGUUUGGAUUUAGCAAAGAGCAAUCAAAGAACUUACUAAAUUUCGAAAGUUUCAUUUGCAUAUACAGAGAUGAACUUAAACGGAUAAUGAAAAUAGAGUAAUGAUAGAGAUUGUUUUUUUGUAUAUCUGUAUGCGUCAACUGCUAUCUAUAAUAUGAUAGUUUAGUCAAUAAAACUUGUAAUUAACUAAUUAUAUGAUAUUAUUAAUUAUGUAUUCAAUUUGAUUAAUAAAAUUUUUAAUCAGGGGUGCGCCUUGGUCCUUAUGUGGCUCCGACACUAAGUGAAAUACAUGCCAUCAAAUGCACAAAUUUGAAGCAUAUUUUCCUAAUCAACCUCCUAUGAAAUAUGUGCCAUUAUAUGUACAAUUUGAAUUUUAAAUAUGCUUUUAAUCAACCAUAAUCUCCCAAUUUAUAUGUUAAAAAAAUUAACGUAUUAUAUCAACUAUUGAUCACAGGACACCCACAUGCACCAAUCCGUACAUGCGUGUUUUUUUUUUUGGUAAAAUGUAGACGCAGGCCGUUCGUGCAUGGUACCAAUGUAGACGCACGUGUGAAAUGUGCGAUCAAAUCGGAGUUAAGUAAAUAAAGCAGGCCGGUUAACCAAUUCCAUCCCCAAAGUCCAAACCAGAAAUAUUCAAAAGCGCGUGCCAAGUCAACAAAGUCUAACUCCUCUUUAUAAAGUCUUCUUUUGACCACCAGCCACAUUCUUAGUUUCUUACCUAACUCUUCGAAACCUUGUAACCCAAGACCCUAAAACCCAUUCCGGCCAUCUUCAAAAAACGGUAGUGCGAAAGCGAAACAAAAUAAGAAACCAAAAAUGGCUGUCUUGCCAAUGCCUUGUUCCUGUUCCUUAAACAUUCACUUGCACGCAAAUAUUAAAAAUAAUAACACGGUCUGCCUGGCCGGUUCGCUCGCUACUGAAUCGACGAGUCGUACCGCCGCAGAACCACGAACGUCCCCGUUUCACGGAAUUUCUCUCAGGACAAGGCCAAGAACAUUGGUCGUGGACCAAGAAGAUGGUCGUCUAAUGAAACCGAUCAAGAUAGAAGAUGAAGGAUAUUUGGAGAAAGAGGCUGCAAAUGUUAUGAUGAGAUUGAAGACGGCGGUGGAGAGGCUGAGAGAGGUGGAGAUACAAAAGUUCUUGAGCAGAGUAUCGCAUAAUGAUAGCAGCGUUAUGGCGGCGGAGGAGAUGAGUGGGCAGAUCGUUAGCGAGUUCCUAGAGAAGCCCAUCGAAUAUUUGACUAGUGAUGCUGGAUGCAAUUUGGAGCAAAAAUUGAAGGACGUUGAUGUUCUGGUUAGCAUUCUCGAAAACUCAUGCCUGCGGCAGGCAGUGGCGGCAAAUCAAAGAUAAAGCCUCGAUCAAACAAAAUCCAUACCAAGCUAAUCUGUUAUUGUGAAAAAAGAUUGAUAUUUUGUACAGUGCCUUGUUCGUACGCAAUGGGUAAUUUUUAACGAUAAUUCAGUUGAUUCUUUUUUUUAUCUUUGUUGUACGAAACAGUGCUGAUCUCUAAUGAGAAAAAGACGCCGCAUUGAGUGGGAUUCGUGUAAGAUUGAUUCAUAUAUUGGCCCGAUGUUUUCUUUUGCUUAAUUUGUUUUCUAAUUAAAUACAUGUUUUUGACGUCGCAACGUUGUCUGAUUUCGUUAGUUUGAUUGUGGCGCACGUAUGUCCAUAUACAUUAUAUAGCUCUAAUUCAUUCGUAAAUAUAGUCUAAAAGGGUAAAAUUGGGAACAAAGGGCUUAAAAACAAAAAUACAAAAACUUAAAAAUAAAGGGCAAGCAUGUCAAGAACCAUCAAGAUACUCGUUGCAACCACAUUUUAACAAAUAUUUUUGUUUCUAAUACACUCCAAACUUAAAUUAUAAUUAUCAGACAUUAGACGAGUUAAUAAAACGAAGGAAGAAACUGCAAACUGAAGCUUGUCUACAAAAUAAACAUCUCAUGCAACAAAAUCAUAUGAUGUCUCAUUCAAAAGUACGCAAGCCCAAGCAAAAAUAAUUUCCAACAAAAGUUUUUCAUAAGUUAUGAUAUUUAACUUUUAUAGUUUUUUUUAUAUUGAUUUUCUUUUAAUUUAAUACUUUAGGCAAGCAGAUU
rnacentral:lncRNA from 1 species